rnacentral:rRNA from 1 species
CGCCUGGAACGGUGAGUGGACGAAAGCUCCGGCGGCAUAGGAUGGGCCUGCGGCGUAUCAGGUUGUAGGGGGUGUAACGUACCCUCUAGCCAUCUACGCGUACGGGUGUUGGGAGACAUAGCCCGGAGAUGGAUUCUGAGACACGAAUCCAGACCCUACGGGGUGCAGCAGGCGCGAAAACUUGGCAAUGCGAGAAAUCGUGACCAGGGAACUCCAAGUGCAUCGGGUAAGACCGGUGCUUUUCUUGACUCUAAAUAGGUCUUGGAAUAAGGGGUGGGUAAGGACGGUGCCAGCCGCCGCGGUAAUACCGGCGCCUCAAGUGGUAGUCGCUUUUAUUGGGCCUAAAACGUCCGUAGCCGGUCUGAUACAUUCGUGGGUAAAUCAACCAGCUCAACUGGUUGAAUUCUGCGAGGACGGUCAGACUUGGGACCGGGAGAGGUGUGGGGUACGCUCAGGGUAGGGGUAAAAUCCUGUCAUCCUGAGCGGACCACCUGUUGCGAAGGCGCCACACUAGAACGGAUCCGACGGUCAGGGACGAAGCCUAGGGGCACGAACCGGAUUAGAUACCCGGGUAGUCCUAGGUGUAAACGCUGUGGACUUGAUGUUGGGGGUGCUCCGAGCACUCUCAGUGUCGAAGCGAAGGUGAUAAGUCCACUGCCUGGGAAGUACGGUCGCAAGGCUGAAACUUAAAGGAAUUGGCGGGGGAGCACCGCAACCUGAGGAUUGUGCGGUUUAAUUGGACUCAACGCCGGA